rnacentral:rRNA from 1 species
CGGGGCGCAGCAGUGGGGAAUAUUGCACAAUGGAGGAAACUCUGAUGCAGCAACGCCGCGUGAGUGAUGAAGGUUUUCGGAUCGUAAAACUCUGUCUUUGGGGAUGAUAAUGACAGUACCCAAGGAGGAAGCCACGGCUAACUACGUGCCAGCAGCCGCGGUAAUACGUAGGUGGCAAGCGUUAUCCGGAUUUAUUGGGCGUAAAGGGAGCGUAGGCGGAUAUUUAAGUGGGAUGUGAAAUACUUGGGCUCAACCCAAGUACUGCAUUCCAAACUGAGUAUCUAGAGUACAGGAGAGGAGAGUGGAAUUCCUAGUGUAGCGGUGAAAUGCGUAGAGAUUAGGAAGAACACCAGUGGCGAAGGCGACUCUCUGGACUGUAACUGACGCUGAGGCUCGAAAGCGUGGGGAGCGAACAGGAUUAGAUACCCCCGU